GACGAACGCUGGCGGCGUGCCUAACACAUGCAAGUCGAACGGAGAAAUUAUUUCGGUAAUUUCUUAGUGGCGAACGGGUGAGUAACACGUAAACAACCUGCCUUUUAGAUGGGGACAACAUCUCGAAAGGGAUGCUAAUACCGAAUGUUUUAGCUUUACCGCAUGGCAGAGCUAAUAAAGGUGGCCUCUAUUUAUAAGCUACCGCUAAAAGAGGGGUUUGCGUCUGAUUAGCUAGUUGGUGAGGUAACGGCUCACCAAGGCAAUGAUCAGUAGCCGGUCUGAGAGGAUGAACGGCCACACUGGGACUGAGACACGGCCCAG
rnacentral:rRNA from 1 species